rnacentral:tRNA from 1 species
UCCCUGGUGGUCCAGUGGUUAAGACUCUGUGCUUCCAAAGCAGGGGUUAUGGGUUCGAUUUCUGAUUGGGGAA